ACGUCACCGGGUGGGUGGGGCAUCGGUUUAUGUGAUGUCACCAGGUGGGCGGUGUGAACUCACCGGGUGGGCGUGGCCUUUUGGAGUGGGUGUGGUUUGGAGGGAUUGGUGUGGUCGAGGUGUGUCCGCAGGUGUGGUCAGGAUUGGUCAGGGUGUGCUCAGGACGUGUCCAGGUGUGUCCAGGUGUGCUCAGGGCGUGUCUGGGAUUGGUCAGGUGUGCUCAGAACAUGUCCAGGUGUGUCCAGGUGUGUUCAGGUGUGCUCAGAUGUGUUCAGGUCUGUCCAAGGUUGGUCAGGGUGUGUCCAGGUGCAUCCAGGUGUGUCCCAGGUGUGUCCAGGUGUGUCCCAGGUGUGUCCAGGUGUGCUCAGGAUGUGUUCAGGUGUGUCCAGGGUUGGUGAAGGUGUGGCCCAGCAUGACCAGGUGUGUCCUGGGUUGUUCAGGUAAGCUCAGAGUGUGGCCAGGUGUGCUCAGGAUGUGUCCAGGUGUAUCAGGGUUGCUCAGGGCAUAUCCAGGUGUGUCCAGGUAAGCUCAGGGCAUGUCUGGGCGUGUCCAGGGUGUGGCCAGGUGUGUCCCAGGUGUGCUCAGGGCGUGCCCAGAGUCGCUCAGGGUGUGGCCAGGGUGUGGCCCCCCAGGGCCAGCCAGGUGUGCUCAGGAUGUGUCCAGGUGUGUCCAAGGUUGCUCAGGUGUGCUCAAAGUUGAUCAGGGUGUGCCCAGGUGUGCCCAGGUCCCCCCACGUGUAUCCAGUUGUGUUCCCAGCUCUUCUCAGGGGUGUCCCCAGGUGUAUCUAGGUGUGCUCAGGUGUAUCCAGGUGUAUCCAGGUGUGCUCAGGUGUAUCCAGGUGUGCCCAGGUGUGCCUCAGGGCGUGCCCAGAGUCGCUCAAGGUGUGGCCAGGGUGUGGCCCCCCAGGGCCAGCCAGGUGUGCUCAGGAUGUGUCCAGGUGUGUCCAAGGUUGCUCAGGUGUGCUCAAAGUUGAUCAGGGUGUGCCCAGGUGUGCCCAGGUCCCCCCACGUGUAUCCAGUUGUGUUCCCAGCUCUUCUCAGGGGUGUCCCCAGGUGUAUCUAGGUGUGCUC
rnacentral:lncRNA from 12 species